GACCAAGGUCAAGUGGAGGCCGGACAACAAGGAGACAUUUGUGCUGGACGGUGGGAGGCCAAGACCACGUGGGGCAUGAAGAUACAGUCGUUUGCCUCAUUCGCGGGUAACGUUCUGAAGACAAUCACAAAGUUCAAAGACCUGGAGGUAGAGACAAGCAGACGAGUGGACCGGGGCUACCUCUACUUUGAGGCCACAUGUAAAGGAAAGACGCUGAAAGGAUGGCUGGUCAAAGCGGACUGAUUGCGCCAGGAACAGUUUAGCUUAGUUUAGUUUAGUUUUUGUAAAGGUUUUACGGCACUCGCAGUACGAAUUGGUCAUAAUAUGUGUGUGUGUGUGUGCCUGGAGAAAGGUCCCAGUUGUCGGAAACUUUGGACAUUAAAAUUAGGGCACAUUCUUGAAGCAAAUUCAAUGCUGAACACGCUGAUCUUAAAACAUUUUUCGAAUAUCUUGAGUAGUUUAAAAAAUACGCCCCUUUUUGUAAAACAAGGUGUUAAAACUAGACCCAAUUUCUUGCACAUUUUUUAUCUCAGGUGAAGUGCAAAAUGUUAUAAAAAUAAUCAAUGAAAAAAUGUUUAGACUCAAAAUAUUAUAAAAUCCUUUCAAUUUAUUAGUAACAAAUGGUCAGAUGUAUGUUUCCUGAUGGAACACAAUUUUUGACCGUGUACAACCUUUUUAGGCUUUUCACCCCAUUGCUCAAAAACAUAUUUACAGACAAAUGAGACUUUCUCUAACUCUAAGCACACA